UACGAAGGGUGCAAACGUUGCUCGGAAUUAUUGGGCGUAAAGCGCACGUAGGCGGCUUAGCAAGUCGGAAGUGAAAUCCCUCGGCUCAACCAAGGAAGUGCUUUCGAAACUGCUGAGCUUGAGUACUAAAGAGGAUCGCGGAAUUCCCGGUGUAGAGGUGAAAUGCGCAGAUAUCGGGAGGAACACCGGUGGCGAAGGCGGUUCUCUGGGCCUGUACUGACGCUGAGGAGCGAAAGCGUGGGGAGCGAACAGG
rnacentral:rRNA from 1 species